AACCUGCGGAGGGAUCAUUGCUGGAACGCGCCCCAGGCGCACCCAGAAACCCUUUGUGAACUUAUACCUUUUGUUGCCUCGGCGCAUGCUGGCCUCUAGUAGGCCCCUCACCCCGGUGAGGAGAAGGCACGCCGGUGGCCAAGUUAACUCUUGUUUUUACACUGAAACUCUGAGAAAAAACACAAAUGAAUCAAAACUUUCAACAACGGAUCUCUUGGUUCUGGCAUCGAUGAAGAACGCAGCGAAAUGCGAUAAGUAAUGUGAAUUGCAGAAUUCAGUGAAUCAUCGAAUCUUUGAACGCACAUUGCGCCCUCUGGUAUUCCGGAGGGCAUGCCUGUUCGAGCGUCAUUUCAACCCUCAAGCAUUGCUUGGUGUUGGGGCACUGCCUGUAAAAGGGCAGGCCCUGAAAUCUAGUGGCGAGCUCGCCAGGACCCCGAGCGCAGUAGUUAAACCCUCGCUCUGGAAGGCCCUGGCGGUGCCCUGCCGUUAAACCCCCAACUUCUGAAAAUUGACCU
rnacentral:rRNA from 1 species